UGGGGAAUAUUGGACAAUGGGGGCAACCCUGAUCCAGCAAUGCCGCGUGUGUGAAGAAGGUCUUCGGAUUGUAAAGCACUUUCGACGGGGACGAUGAUGACGGUACCCGUAGAAGAAGCCCCGGCUAACUUCGUGCCAGCAGCCGCGGUAAUACGAAGGGGGCUAGCGUUGCUCGGAAUGACUGGGCGUAAAGGGCGUGUAGGCGGUUUACACAGUCAGAUGUGAAAUCCCCGGGCUUAACCUGGGAGCUGCAUUUGAUACGUGUAGACUAGAGUGUGAGAGAGGGUUGUGGAAUUCCCAGUGUAGAGGUGAAAUUCGUAGAUAUUGGGAAGAACACCGGUGGCGAAGGCGGCAACCUGGCUCAUGACUGACGCUGAGGCGCGAAAGCGUGGGGAGCAAACAGGAUUAGAUACCCUGGUAGUCCACGCUGUAAACGAUGUGUGCUAGAUGUUGGGUA
rnacentral:rRNA from 1 species